GACGAACGCUGGCGGCGUGCCUAAUACAUGCAAGUCGAACGCAGUGGGGACGGGUGAGUAACACGUGGGUAACCUCCCAUCAGAGGGGAUAACACUUGGAAACAGGUGCUAAACCGAUACUGAUGGAUGGACCCGCGGUGCAUUAGCUAGUUGGUGAGGUAACGGCUCACCAAGGCCACGAUGCAUAGCAGGCCUGAGAGGGUGUUCGGCAACACUGGAACUGAAACACGGCCCAGACUCCUACGGUGGGCAGCAGUGGGAAAUCUUCGGCAAUGGGCGAAAGUCUGACCGAGCAAGGCCGCGUGAGUGAAGAAGGUUUUCGGAUCGUAAAACUCUGUUGUUAGAGAGGCGUUAUCUAACCAGAAAGCCACGGCUAACUACGUGCCAGCAGCCGCGGUAAUAC
rnacentral:rRNA from 1 species